rnacentral:lncRNA from 1 species
UGGAAUUACUCCAAGAAUAGAAGUGCACAGGUGGCGACUCCUUACUUCCAGCAAAAUCCAAACUGCUGUCUCUGAGACUCUUCCUCCAUUAGAGCUCUCCAGUAACCCAUGAUGGCCCACGACGGGAUGGGACUAGUUUAUAGGAGAGCGUUGUCAAUACCAUUUAUAAAGCCAAGAAUUGCCAUGAUUUAAGACUAAGAUCUGUCUUUUUGGUGACUAACACUUCAAUUCUUUCAACUCCUAUUAAUACCCAUAAUCAGUAACCUACCAAGAAAAGCCCGUAUUUGGAAAGUGUGGAGUUUGUGUUGGAAAAGCUGCCUGGAGAGAAGAGUUGUGUCCUUUACCAUAUUCAACAGGACUCAUUGGGGGAUCAAAAUCAUAAUUUUAAAUUAUGCAUUAUAUUUCUUUUCUCCACUCCUCACAUAUACAGAAACCAUAAUUGAAGUUAACUUUUCUUUUUAAAAAAAAUUUAUAUUCAGUUUGCAGUAG